rnacentral:rRNA from 1 species
GACGAACGCUGGCGGCGUGCUUAACACAUGCAAGUCGAACGGAAAGGCCCUGCUUUUGUGGGGUGCUCGAGUGGCGAACGGGUGAGUAACACGUGAGUAACCUGCCCUUGACUUUGGGAUAACUUCAGGAAACUGGGGCUAAUACCGGAUAGGAGCUCCUGCUGCAUGGUGGGGGUUGGAAAGUUUCGGCGGUUGGGGAUGGACUCGCGGCUUAUCAGCUUGUUGGUGGGGUAGUGGCUUACCAAGGCUUUGACGGGUAGCCGGCCUGAGAGGGUGACCGGCCACAUUGGGACUGAGAUACGGCCCAGACUCCUACGGGGGGCGGCAGUGGGGAAUAUUGCACAAUGGGCGGAAGCCUGAUGCAGCAACGCCGCGUGCGGGAUGACGGCCUUCGGGUUGUAAACCGCUUUCGCCUGUGACGAAGCGUGAGUGACGGUAAUGGGUAAAGAAGCACCGGCUAACUACGUG